GGGGUGUGAGAAGACCAACCUAGAUGAUAUCGUUGGUCCUCCUGGACUCAAAUUAUAUAUAGAAAUUGGCCAUCCCAUUCUGAGUUGUCUCCUUCCCUCUAAAGGAGGAUGACGUUGCGAGCUUUCUCUCACGUGCAUCAAAUGGUGAUGUUAGCUGAGCGCUCUGAGGAUCUGAUGCAAGGGUGGACGUGUGUAUGAAGGGUACUGCCAUAGCAUUUCAUGGUCAUUAAGAACGUACAGGUUCUACUUAUUUAACCAUAACACCUUUAAGGAGAGCAGUGGAAAAAACCAGCAAUCUUCUGUACGAGAACGUAAGUAAAACUAAACAUUGACAGCUACCUUAGAGAAAUUUCUUUCUGUAAGAUCCCUUGUAACAGACACAGGCGUUUCCUCUUUCUCUCCCUUUCAAUUUCCGGUGCUUAAGUGAGAAUGUUUUGCCUUCCCUUUUAUCCCAUUCAGCUGAAAGCAGCUUCCUGCAGUCCGCACCUCUACUGCAUGGCACCAUGCAACAAGGCUGGCUAAAGGGGGAUACCACCUUGCUUUGUCAGCAGUUGGCUUGGGGUCCUGCUGGGGUUUACGGUGUGCAGACCACAACGUGGGCUUCAUCUGCUCGGCACGCCAGCACAGGGGUUUGAACUGCCUUUGACAGCACCUCAUGGAGCCACAUUGGUGUGAUCCAGGGCAGUGGUGAGUGGGCCACCAGGAGGGAGGUGGGCUACCAGCAGGCAGGUGGCACAUAUGGAUGAGCACGUUCUGUGAGUCCCCAGGGAGGAGAGAAACUGCAGCAGUACUCAGGCCGCUCCAAGUCUUUUGAGCUGGACGUUGACCUUAGGAACGUAAUCAGAGAGCUGAUUAUAAAUAGUUGGUGCAGUUGUUGAUGGGAUUAAAAUGUGCUGCGGCAGGCAGCCGGUUGGAGGCAGGGGUUACUCCCGUGUGUGCCCAGGAUGCUGCCUGCUCAUUUGUCUAUGGCUGCACGUUGAGCCUGAAAAAGGGAAGUGGCUGAAAAACGCUAAGAAAAUCUUCCCAGAGAGGGGGAAGGAGGAAGUCGUGUGGCUUACAAAAGAGGGCUGAGGGACAUGGGGGAAGGGACCAGGGAGCAGAGAAUUAAUGAGGAAGGAGGACGGUCACUGCAAGUGUUCAGGAAGCAAAAUCCUCAAAGCAGGGGAAUGCCCUAGAUAACAGUGGUCAAAACCUCCAGGUAAACCACAGAUGGUGAUCUGUGUUCAGCUGGUGGUGCGUGAUGGAGCUGGGAGAAAAGGGAGGGAAAAGGAGCAGGGAAGGAAUUGCGGGAGGUGAGUAAUGGAGGUCAGAAAUAGUAUUUUAUCAACAUGAAGGUUUUGCUAACAAGGGGAAUGACUGGGGAGACCGUCUAGCUUUUAGUGUGACGAGAGAACUGUGUCUGGAGCAGGCAGUGGUCCAUCUGUCAGCGGGGCAGGGGAUGGAGCUUAGUUUGCAUCUGCGGAUGAGGACAUCCUGGAGGUGAGGUGUGCCGAUACCAGAGAAGGAGAAAUUAGAAAGCAGAUAGCCAGAGAAUUCGGGGGAAACUGAUUGUCUAAUCCCAGCACUCCCAUUGUAAUGGUGUGAGCAGUCACAGCUUGGUGCCACCAUGCUGUAACAUGGCAAGAAUCAGGUUGGGAGACAGUCUUUAACCUGGAGGGAACGUUUUACCUCCCCGAGUUCUGAGCAGGAGGAGAAAUCAAACGCUCUUUCCUGACAUGAGGUAUGGUGAUAGAAGUAUUAAAAAUAAUGCUUCUAUGAACAGCGAAACUUCUGUAGUCGAACUUCCUGUGGCUUCGUGCUUCCUGUUUAUGUUCCUUUUGUGCCACGCAUGGUGAGGGGUGAGCCCUGAGCGCAGCCUGCCCGAGGCUCUGCAUGCUCCUGCCCACAGGGCUGGAGAUGGGCAUGGAGCUGCCGAGGGCAGAGAUGGGGCAUUCCCCGGCCUCCUUGCUUUGGGAACGCAGGGUGGUAACAGUCCCAGUGAGCCGUCCACUUUGGGUAUCCAGCACUGAGGUUACAUGUACAAAGUGUGGAGAGCCACACGUUCAGUUCAAUCCUCGGCUUUCCUCUGGACUUCAACUGCAUCUUCAUCACUUCACUUGAGAGAUAACGUGGCUGCGGUGGAGCUCACCGUUUCCCUGCUUUCUAAGAUGGAGGACCAUUUGUUUGGCCACCGUGUAAAGCACUGACUGCAGGCCCAUGCUAACACAGCUGCAGGAGCCACCCUUUUCCAACCCACUUUCGGAGCAUUGAGGACAUGCUUUUGGAGCAGCUUGGAGAGGUGGUGAUGUGCUGCUGAAAGUGAAGGAGCUAAACGUGGCAUGGCUUUGAGCAGUCCUGGAUUCCCGAGGGUGACGGGUGCUGCUGGGACACCGGGCUGCACCCACAGAGCACUGCAGGCAGGGAGAGGUCGGGCAGAGCAUCACAGACACCUCAAAUCCCUGAGUGGAGAGAGGGGAAGCCUGCAGGAACCUCACCCCCAGAGCUAAUAGCUUUGUGUAAAUGUUAUUUGCCAGAAUUCCACAAAGUAUUUACAGCUAUUUUAUGCGCACUGAAUGUUCGCUUGCCAAGGAAUGAUGGAUUACCCCUGCUUUGAAGCUGAUUGAGAACUAUUACCGUUACCGCCUUAUCAGGCUGUUACAUAUUAGCCCAAGGUACAAGACUACAAUGCUUUCCAAGAAAGAAAACUCCUGACUCGACAGCCAAAUUCACUGCAAAAGCGAAGUGAUGGUGCAGGAGCAAAAGAAACGCGAGGAAAUUACAUGUAAUUACCGUUUCUCCAGCUCCUUUAUGCGGGGAGCAGGUGACUCAGCGUUCCCAUAGAACUACCUCCAUGGGAGAGGAGGAGCUCCGCCUCCACCUGGCAGCCGCCCGCCUUUGCUGCAGCUGUCUGCCUGCCGGACCUCCCCUUGGGGCUGCCGCUGCCGCUUAGCAGCUCAAUAGCACGCAUACCUGCGGAGUGCUCCUUCCCUGCGAAGGAGGAUUUGCCACCCGGCGUGGAAUGCUUUAAAGCAAGGUGCAAAUAUGUAAAUAAUUACCACGAGCAUCUGAGCUUUAUUUAUUUAUUUGUUUGUUUGAGUCCUCCCCCCCCCCCCCCGACUGAAUGCAUUAGUAGUCUCUAGCUGGGCUUCUGGGCCCAGCUGUGACCUACAGAGCCAAGGAAGUGAGCUUGCCCUGCUGCCUCCUAGCCCUGGAUCACCUUCUGGUUGUUGCUGACCUUCUUGGAGAUACACAGCAACCCUGCUGGGGGCUGACACACCAGGGCUCAGCACUUCCAGCUGCUUUGCUGCAAUGCCUCCCCACGAGCCCACCCCGGCGGGUCCCCAGCAGGAGGCCAAUCCUGGGAACAGAGGACUGCAAGUCGGUGCCGCCGCUGCCGGUUAUCUGCCCAGCCCUGGCAUCCCGCCUCGAGAGCCCCUCCUGGGCUGCGUUGGCUGAGCAAACCCGAGAGCGGGGCAACGGUCAGAGCGACAGAAAUGACUCGCUGGGGGAGAAGUGCAGCGAGAUGGGCUCCAGGAGAGAUGAGUCACUGCCGAGCUGCACUCCAGAAACAGCUCACAGAGCCAGCUGCUGCUGUUCAGAAGAUGAACUUACUGGGCUCUGCAGGCUGGCAACAGGGGCGCGGUAGAUGAGCUUGGCUUCAGCUAUUUCAGCGCACGCAGAAGGUGGAUCCAUUUGUGCCUGGGAAGAAUGGGAAGCCGGGCAUGCAGAAGCUGUCCUGAAGCUCUGGUGGUCAGCCCGGGCAGCUCCAACGCAGGCAGCGCUCCUUAUACCGCACUUACUCGUCUGUUAAUCAUUAAACACUGAUUAGAAAAGGCAAAACAGACAAUGCCUCGAAGGUGGUUCUGACUUUGCGGCCUUCCAGUACUUGAAGGGAGCUUACAGGCAGGAGAGGGAGUGACUUUGUACAUGGUCUGAUAGCGAUAGGGCAAGGGAGAAUGGCAUUUAACUACCAGAGGGAAGAUUUAGGUUAGAUGUGAGGAGGAAAUUCUUUACUCAGAGGGCAAUGAGGCACUGACAGUGCUGCCCAGAGCUGUGGGUGUCACAACCCUGGAGGUGCCCAAGGCCAGGUUGGAUGGGCCCUGGGCAGCCUGAGCUGGUGGGGGACACCCAGCCCACAGCAGGAGCUGGGGCAGGGGUGGCUUUGGGUCCCUUCCAGCCCAAGCCAUUCUGUGAUUCUAUGAUUCUAUGUCUUUGAAAUGGCUCUGUAUCUUGCAGUGGCCACUAUUACUUAAGGUAGAAGAGCCUAAAAUUAAACAUUUAUAUUUUGCUCCUUUACAGUUGGCUUCUUUGUUUUCAGGAUCACAUUCGGCCAUCGCCCAGUCUGUG
ensembl:lncRNA